rnacentral:tRNA from 2 species
CAGAGGGUAUUUUAUAUAAAAUAUUAGUUUUGGGGACUAAUGAAAUGGGCUUAACUUUUCCUCUGA